rnacentral:rRNA from 1 species
UACGUAGGGUGCGAGCGUUGUCCGGAAUUAUUGGGCGUAAAGGGCUCGUAGGCGGUUUGUCGCGUCGGCUGUGAAAACCCGGGGCUCAACCCCGGGCCUGCAGUCGAUACGGGCAGACUAGAGUGUGGUAGGGGAGACUGGAAUUCCUGGUGUAGCGGUGAAAUGCGCAGAUAUCAGGAGGAACACCGGUGGCGAAGGCGGGUCUCUGGGCCAUAACUGACGCUGAGGAGCGAAAGCGUGGGGAGCGAACAGG